UACGUAGGCAGCGAGCGUUGUUCGGAGUUACUGGGCGUAAAGGGUGUGUAGGCGGUUGUUUAAGUUUGGUGUGAAAUCUCCCGGCUCAACUGGGAGGGUGCGCCGAAUACUGAAUGACUCGAGUGUGGGAGAGGUGAGUGGAAUUCCUGGUGUAGCGGUGAAAUGCGUAGAUAUCAGGAGGAACACCGGUGGUGUAGACGGCUCACUGGACCAUAACUACGCUGAGACACGAAAGCGUGGGUAGCAAACAGG
rnacentral:rRNA from 1 species